rnacentral:rRNA from 1 species
UGAAAGACGGUCUUGCUGUCACUUAUAGAUGGAUCCGCGCUGCAUUAGCUAGUUGGUAAGGUAACGGCUUACCAAGGCAACGAUGCAUAGCCGACCUGAGAGGGUGAUCGGCCACACUGGAACUGAGACACGGUCCAGACUCCUACGGGAGGCAGCAGUAGGGAAUCUUCCGCAAUGGGCGAAAGCCUGACGGAGCAACGCCGCGUGAGUGAUGAAGGUCUUCGGAUCGUAAAACUCUGUUAUUAGGGAAGAACAUAUGUGUAAGUAACUGUGCACAUCUUGACGGUACCUAAUCAGAAAGCCACGGCUAACUACGUGCCAGCAGCCGCGGUAAUACGUAGGUGGCAAGCGUUAUCCGGAAUUAUUGGGCGUAAAGCGCGCGUAGGCGGUUUUUUAAGUCUGAUGUGAAAGCCCACGGCUCAACCGUGGAGGGUCAUUGGAAACUGGAAAACUUGAGUGCAGAAGAGGAAAGUGGAAUUCCAUGUGUAGCGGUGAAAUGCGCAGAGAUAUGGAGGAACACCAGUGGCGAAGGCGACUUUCUGGUCUGUAACUGACGCUGAUGUGCGAAAGCGUGGGGAUCAAACAGGAUUAGAUACCCUGGUAGUCCACGCCGUAAACGA